rnacentral:tRNA from 1 species
UCAUCGGUGGUUCAGUGGUAAAAUGCUCGCCUGCCACGCUGGCGGCCCGGGUUCGAUUCCCGGCCGAUGCA